GACGCCGCUUCGCCCCGUCCGCCCCAUCACAGAAACCUGCCUCCUGCCUGCCCCCGCGGUUGCUUCCGCGUGGUGACUCCAGGGAAAAAUGGAUUGCCCUGGAGAACAAAUAAGGCUAAUAAGGCUAUCAAUUAGGAGUUCACUUCUGACCUCUGCAUGACCCCAGUCAACACUAAGGGUUUGCAGGCCCUUAUGCUUCCCAUUAUGGAGCCUGCAACAACCGAUAAGAUGAUGCCUUUGCUGGAACAAGU